UACGAAGGGGGCUAGCGUUGUUCGGAUUUACUGGGCGUAAAGCGCACGUAGGCGGAUUGUUAAGUCGGGGGUGAAAUCCUGGAGCUCAACUCCAGAAUUGCCUUCGAUACUGGCUUUCUAGAGGCUGGAAGAGGUUAGUGGAAUUCCCCAGUGUAGAGGUGAAAUUCGUAGAUAUUGGGAAGAACACCAGUGGCGAAGGCGGCUAACUGGUCCAGAUCUGACGCUGAGGUGCGAAAGCGUGGGGGAGCAAACAGG
rnacentral:rRNA from 1 species